AACGGAUCUUAAUCAUUAUAUUGUGGUUCUUAAGAUAACAUAAGGGAAAAAAAUGAUAGUACCUUAUUAUUAGUGUUGUCCAACAUUACUGGUGCCAGAAGACUCGGUAACGCCAGAAACGCAAACGUUAGUCGUCUUAAUCAGGCGUAAAGGGUAAGUAGGCUGCUUUAAAAGUUAAUAAUUAUAAAGCUAUUUCUUUGGCUACAAUCUAGCAGCAGAAGCAGAAUUAUACUGCCAAAACUGCAGCAGUCUGGUCGGCAGCUAAAGAAGAAGGGGUGCAAAGUAAAAAUUGCUUAGCUACUACCGGAGGCUUUAACUAGCCAGUCUCUGCUGUUCUAAAGAAAAAAUAAAUAAUAAUGAAUUAAAGCUAGAAUCAAAAAGAGGAUAAGCCAAAUAAUAUUUAGAGUAAGGCUGAUAUCUUCAAAUACUAAAUAGAAUUCUAAUGGUGAAAACUUUUAUCUAAUAAUGAUUGACGCUGAGGAACGAAGGUGAGAAUAGAAAACAGGAUUAGAGACCCAGGUAUCUCUCACUGUCAACGAUGAAUGGUAGUUGUUAGCUUAGCUUAAGUUAGUAACGAUGUUAACGCGUUAACCAUUCCGCCUUGCGAGUACGUUGGCCAAAACUGA
rnacentral:rRNA from 1 species